GGGGCCAUAGCUCAGCUGGGAGAGCGCCUGCCUUGCACGCAGGAGGUCGUCGGUUCGAUCCCGUCUGGCUCCACCA
rnacentral:tRNA from 11 species